UACGAAGGGGGCUAGCGUUGCUCGGAAUCACUGGGCGUAAAGCGCACGUAGGCGGAUUGUUAAGUCAGGGGUGAAAUCCUGGAGCUCAACUCCAGAACUGCCUUUGAUACUGGCAAGCUUGGAGUCCGGGAGAGGUGAGUGGAACUGCGAGUGUAGAGGUGAAAUUCGUAGAUAUUCGCAAGAACACCAGUGGCGAAGGCGGCUCACUGGCCCGGUACUGACGCUGAGGUGCGAAAGCGUGGGGAGCAAACAGG
rnacentral:rRNA from 1 species